UCACAGUGGUCAGGUAUUCUGCCACUGUGUACUCUCUGUUUAGGGUCAGUCACAGUGGACAGGUAUUCUGCCACUGUGUACUCUCUGUUUAGGGUCAGUCACAGUGGUCAGGUAUUCUGCCACUGUGUUCUCUCUGUUUAG